rnacentral:rRNA from 1 species
UACGGAGGGGGCUAGCGUUGUUCGGAAUUACUGGGCGUAAAGCGCGCGUAGGCGGAUCUGCAAGUCGGGGGUGAAAUCCCGAGGCUCAACCUCGGAACUGCCUUCGAUACUGCGGGUCUCGAGUCCGGGAGAGGUGAGUGGAAUUCCUAGUGUAGAGGUGAAAUUCGUAGAUAUUAGGAAGAACACCAGUGGCGAAGGCGGCUCACUGGCCCGGUACUGACGCUGAG